CUUACACCUAGAGGCGCUCGCUCUACGGCCGGAACCUUGGUUGCUAAGGAGCGGGCGGUUUGCGGCAGCUGUGGGCACUGCUGAGUUUGAAUUGAGGGGCGAGGGAAAAGUUGGCCUCAGGUGUGGUGGGGCGAGGGCGAGGCGGGUGUUGGGAAACCGUGGGGACGUGGUCUGAAGGGCCACGGGCUGCCGCAGUUGGAAAGGGACGCACGGUUUCCCUGCGCGCGAACGGGGAUGGGAAUGGACUUCAAUGAGGCUGAAGUUCAGCUGGACUGAAAGAGAGGCGAGAAGUUCCGCCUGCCAGCAGCCUCGUUAGCGGAGCGGAAUGAGUAAUACCCACACGGUGCCUGUCUCACUUCCCCAUCCGCACCGGCUCUCACCUGCUGUCACCUCGGCCUCCCCCACCCGGCCCUCGCCCCUCUCCCUCCCCUCCCUCCUGCCCCUCCUCGUGUAGACCCCUGGGAUCCUGGGUGGCAGGACCCAGAGCUGAGGUAUUCACAGGCCAUGAUUUCCUCCCUAAAUGAGAGGUCAUCUCCAUUCAGGACGAUGUUUCAGGCAAGAAGUAACAGCUGACAGAUGUGUUCUCUGAGCCUGAUAGAUGGCUGGUUUUAUCUUAAGUCCUCGGUAUAAGUUUGGGGAUUCCUGAAAGACCAUACAGAUACAAAUAUCAAGAAAGCCGUCUUCAGUAUUCAGUAGAAUGUAGAUUUAGGUUUUUCUUCCUGCUUCCCACCUCCUUCGAAUAAGGAAACGUCUUUUGGACCAACUUUAUGGAAUAAAUGAGCUGAUCUGUAUUUCAAGUAAUAGAGUUAUAAAUUAACAAUGUAGGAAUUUAUUGAUAGAGAAAUUGAGAAAACGGAAAAGUGACCAGAGUAUUGGAAAUAACUAGUAAAUCACCUAGCUCACUGUCUGACACAUAGUAGGUGCUCAAUAAAUUUAUGCUUAUAAUUUUUGCCAUCUCUAUGGCAGGAUUUUUUUUAUUAGGUUAAAAUUAUCUUUUAACCACCUUCCGGAAUUUUAGGAUAUUCAUUAAUAAUGUCUUCAAACCUUUCAACUGAAAUAAAUUUACAGCUGAAGUCUGGUGAUUUAAAGUUAGAAAGUUUAAUCUUGAAUAUAGAUGAACAUUUUCUCUCUCACAUUUUCUUGGACAUUUUGAGAAGUAAAUGCAUUAUUUAUUGGUCCAUGAAAUGUACCUGUAAAUAUUCUUUGCUAUACAUUAUGUCUAUAUAUCUGCCCUCAUCCUCAGUGCCAAAACUAGAAUCGUUAUUCUUAAUGAUAAUUUCAAGUACAGGCAGUAUUCACUUUCCUCAGUACCAUGGUAACUGAAAUCUGUGCGUGUCAACGCAGUGUCCUUGCUUUGCUUGGUUAAGUGUGAAUUCUUCCUCCCUUUUAAGAGUUGUACAGGGUUCUUCAGUCACCUACCGAAUCAGCCGAUAGACUGUGGAAUUGCUCCCACCCCACCAACGUUUUUUCAGCCACCCUAACUUCUGACCAGAAAGGAAAAAAAAAAAAUACUUUCCAACUCCAGCACACGUAUACCUACUAUUAAACUUAGGAAGUACUACAAAUAGCAUUUUCUUGUGUUCUCUUUCUGGCCUAUACCUCCUUCCCAAGCUUCCUUCAGUGUUCAUCCUUACCUCAUAAUCAUAAAGAGUUGAAGCAAAGAGACGCAUUGAGAAGUCAUUUUCUUCCUUCCUUUAGUGGUUUCUGGUUUUUUAGUUAGGCCCAGACUGUGGACAAGUACCUUUUCAGGCAAGUUUUUUUUUCCAUGUUUCUAUGUCCUCAACACCUAGUGGAGUACAUGGCCAAUAGUAGAUGCUUGAUAAACAUUUCCUAAAUAAGUUAAUGUUGUUGCCCUUUUCUGAACCUGUUCUUGGCAGUAAAAUCCAUAAUCUGCCUUCAUCCCUCCCGUUAGUCCUUAGGAACAGCUAAAGUCAUGGAUGCAAAAGUGAUUACUGUCAUUUAUAUCCAGACUAAAAUUCCUCUUGAUUUUAAUUUCUCCAUAAUCAUUUUCCCUGAACAAAUAACUCUGUUCACCAGAUUUUUAAAAUGUGCACAGUGAAUAUUAUUGGUAGCCCAAAUCUUCUAACAUAAAAUUUUCAUUGUGUAAAAGCUUCUGAUAAGUACGUUAUGAAUUAAAUGUUUAAUUAUCAUACUUUAUUUACUGUAAUUUUCUUGAAAAUAUUGAUAUCUAGACUGGAAAGAAAACAGACAAUAGUAAAUCUCAGAAUACAUUUCUGCUUUGAACAU